rnacentral:rRNA from 1 species
AGUGAACGCUGGCGGUAGGCCUAACACAUGCAAGUCGAACGGCCGCACAGUAAGAGCUUGCUCUUACGGGUGGCGAGUGGCGGACGGGUGAGGAAUACAUCGGCAUCUACUUUUUCGUGGGGGAUAACGUAGGGCCACUUACGCUAAUACCGCAUACGACCUACGGGUGAAAGCAGGGGAUCUUCGCACCUUGAGCGAUUGAAUGAGCCGAUGUCGGAUUAGCUAGUUGGCGGGGUAAAGGCCCACCAAGGCGACGAUCCGUAGCUGGUCUGAGAGGAUGAUCAGCCACACUGGAACUGAGACACGGUCCAGACUCCUACGGGAGGCAGCAGUGGGGAAUAUUGGACAAUGGGCGCAAGCCUGAUCCAGCCAUACCGCGUGGGUGAAGAAGGCCUUCGGGUUGUAAAGCCCUUUUGUUGGGAAAGAAAAGCAGCAUGUUAAUACCCCGCUGUUCUGACGGUACCCAAAGAAUAAGCACCGGCUAACUUCGUG